CUCAGUUGGUAGAGCGGAGGACUGUAGUUUAAGCAGAAAAAUCCUUAGGUCACUGGUUCGAAUCCGGUAGGUCGGA
rfam:Arabis alpina cultivar Pajares scaff_51382_1_contig_0, whole genome shotgun sequence.